rnacentral:rRNA from 1 species
AUUAUUAAUCCUAAAUACCAUAAAGGCACCAGAUCCCCUCUGAUCUUGGCAGCUAAGCAAGGUCAGCUCUAAUCAGUAUUCAGUUGGGAGACCACCAACAAAUACCAGGUGCUAUAGGUA